GUGCUCUUUCCUGUCAGCCAACCACCCGAGACGGGUCAAUGGAGAAACCGGAAGUGCAGUUUUAACAGCAUCCGUUCCCCGGUAGUAGUUUGACAGCUUUGUAUUGAAUAAUACUUGUGAAGAUGGCGCUUCGGCCAGGAGCUGGAGCCGGUGGUAGCGGCGGAGGCGGCAGUGUGGUAAAUCAGAAGAUGAUGAUUUUCAAGAUGCCUCUAAAUCUGGACCCAUUGAUAUUUCCUUCUCCGAUUUCUAGAGUGAUAUUUCAGUGAAACCAACCACUUCUCAAACUGGCAUAAGUUUGUGUUUGAAUCUUCUCAACAACAGAUCCCCUACAGCAGAUGUAACCCUCGUGAGGACAAAUGUAUUAAUGAUGAGUGUAGUUUUUUAUCGUAAUAAUGAUAAUAUAGUGUAAUAAUUAUUGAAAUACUUUAUGAGUAUUUAGAAAAACAUAAUAAUUUUAAAAGAAUUGUAAAAAAGUAGACUGUCUAUGUAAGUUUAUUUUAACCCCUUAAAAAUAGGGGUUUUUUUACACCACAGGACCAGACCAAUGGUUCAUGUUUUUACAAAGUUUCUCUGUCUCUCUUUCUCGAUUAGUGCAGGCCACACACAC